GACGAACGCUGGCGGCGUGCUUAACACAUGCAAGUCGAACGGAAAGGCCUCUUUCGGGGGGUACUCGAGUGGCGAACGGGUGAGUAACACGUGAGUAACCUGCCCUUUACUUUGGGAUAACUUCAGGAAACUGGGGCUAAUACCGGAUAGGAGCUCCUGCUGCAUGGUGGGGGUUGGAAAGUUUCGGCGGUUGGGGAUGGACUCGCGGCUUAUCAGCUUGUUGGUGGGGUAGUGGCUUACCAAGGCUUUGACGGGUAGCCGGCCUGAGAGGGUGACCGGCCACAUUGGGACUGAGAUACGGCCCAGACUCCUACGGGAGGCAGCAGUGGGGAAUAUUGCACAAUGGGUGGAAGCCUGAUGCAGCAACGCCGUGUGCGGGAUGACGGCCUUCGGGUUGUAAACCGCUUUCGCUCAUGACGAAGCUUUGUGUGACGGUAGUGGGUAAAGAAGCACCGGCUAACUACGU
rnacentral:rRNA from 1 species